rnacentral:tRNA from 1 species
GCCGAGGUGGCGGAACUGGCAGACGCGCUAGGUUGAGGGCCUAGUGAGGAAGUUCUCCUCGUGCGGGUUCAAAUCCCGCCUUCGGCA